rnacentral:rRNA from 1 species
AUGUUGUGCCACCGCCAUUGCUUAGCCGCUGCCUUGCACUCGGUCCGCACCAUACUCCUUGUAUUUGCUUGCAGUAGAUCCACUCUCCACCGGUCGCACACCUCCUCGCUUUACGAUGGCUUCGCCUACCAUCGUCCGCCUUCGGCAUCACACCGAAUCCACACUGGCCGCAACCAGGACGCUCCACGAGGACGUGGACAUGACUCACGAAACACCGUGCGCACCGCCUCAACUCCAACUAAUCAUCACCAAUGCGAGCACUUGGACACGAUGACGACUCAAAGACACACCGACGACUGA